UACGUAGGGUGCGAGCGUUGUCCGGAAUUACUGGGCGUAAAGAGCUCGUAGGUGGUUUGUCGCGUUGUUCGUGAAAACUUACAGCUUAACUGUGGGCGUGCGGGCGAUACGGGCAGACUGGAGUACUGCAGGGGAGACUGGAAUUCCUGGUGUAGCGGUGGAAUGCGCAGAUAUCAGGAGGAACACCGGUGGCGAAGGCGGGUCCCUGGACAACACCUGACACUGAGGCACGAAAGCUAGGGGAGCAAACGGG
rnacentral:rRNA from 1 species